AUUUAUCCCAGAGAAAUAGACUUAUGUUUGCAUUAAAAUCUGUGCAUGAAUAUUUAUAGUGGCUUUUCUCAUAGUCAUCAAAAAGUGGAAACAGCCCAGACUCCCCUCAACAGGUGAGUGGUUCGACUGUGAUAUUCUUAUACCACGACACUGCUCAGAAAUAAGAAGGGAUGAACUAUUGUUACACACAAUAACCAGAAUUAAUCACCAGAGUAUGGUGCUGAGUGAAAAGGUCAAUCUUCAAAAGUUACAUACUAUAUGAUUUCAUUUGUAUAGCAGCGUGGAAAUGACAAACUUAUAGAAAUGUAGAACAGAUUAGUGGUUGCCACAGUUUGAAGAGGCAGGAAGAGGAGGUGGCUAUAAAAAAGCAACAGCAGUGAUCCUUGUGAUGAUGCUAGCCUUCUGAAUCUUAACUGAAUCUUGACAAUGUCAAUAUCCCAUUUAUGAUAUACUGCUUUUCUGGAUGUUUCCAUUAGAGAAAACUUGGUAAAGGACAUGAGAUCUGUCUGUGUUAUUUCUUAUAACUGCAUGUGAAUCUAUAAUUCUCAAAAUAAAAAGUUCUGUUUUAAUGCCUGUAAUCCCAGCACUUUGGGAGGCUGAGGUGGGUGGAUCACGAGGUCAGGA
rnacentral:lncRNA from 1 species